rnacentral:rRNA from 1 species
UGGGCAACUUGCCCUCAGCUCUGGGAUAACUCCAAGAAAUUGGGGCUAAUACCGGAUAUGACCGCUGACCGCAUGGUCUGGUGGUGGAAAGAUUUUAUCGGCUGGGGAUGGGCCCCGCGGCCUAUCAGCUUGUUGGUGGGGUAGUGGCCUACCAAGGCGACGACGGGUAGCCGGCCUGAGAGGGUGACCGGCCACACUGGGACUGAGACACGGCCCAGACUCCGUACGGGAG